AUGAACUGCGUCUCUAGUGGAAAUCUGCAAAGUUCCUCUAAUCCCACAAAAGUAAAAAAGAAAACGGUUUGCUUAUUCCACAGUAACCCCCGCCCUGUGGGGCAGAGCCGUGUCGGUGGGUCCGCUCCUGGAGGCUCUGGCUGUGGGGAGGGCCUCCUGGGGGCACAUUGGGGUGCGCAGUGCUGCGUGUCGCACCCCAGGGCCGUGUCCCCCCCCUCCCCCCGCCCCCCCAACCGGCAGCAGCAGCUCUGCCUUUUGCUGCGCUUCCCCGGCGCCGGUUAUGCAAGUGGCUUGGGAAGCCGCGCAAAUUGCAGCAGGAAGAAAUCAUCGCGCGGCUCUGGUGGGAAAAGCUGUUAUCGGCGCUGCUGGCGAGCCCGGCUGCGGCAGCACUUGGUGCCCUAGAAUGAAGACAGCAGAUCCGCUGCAAUUCACAGAGCUGACCUCACAGAAACCAAAUGGUGAUGCUGAGGAUGCACACGCAUGGCAUACAUGCCCAAGGGAAGCUGUUUCCUCAAGGGUUGUUCUGCAGCCAAGGCUCCCAUUCUCCCGGCAGGGAAAGGAGAGAAAAAACCCGGGGAACAAAAGCUGCAGGCGCAGCACUGGAUGGAAGGGGUGAGCGCUGGGCCCCAUGUGGUGGCAGUAAUUUUCCACCGUGGUGGUUGAGGUGAAGCACUUGGUGAGGAGCGAAUUCUGUUUUUUUCCCCUUCCUCUCUACCUUGGGAGAGCAGUGUUGGAUGGGAGCCCAGGAGAGGCGAGAUAAAGGUCUUCUCUAUCGGACAGCUGUGCAGAGAUCUCAAAUAAAGAGGCAGGCAUCGCUCAGAAACCGUUCGGAGCAGCAAAUGCAAAAGGAAUACUGCAGAACAGGUUGUGUUUGUCACCAUGAGUGACCCUUGGAGAUG
rnacentral:lncRNA from 7 species